rnacentral:rRNA from 1 species
UCGGGAAUAUUGCGCAAUGGAGGAAACUCUGACGCAGUGACGCCGCGUGCAGGAAGAAGGUUUUCGGAUUGUAAACUGCUUUAGACAGGGAAGAUACAAGACAGUACCUGUAGAAUAAGCUCCGGCUAACUACGUGCCAGCAGCCGCGGUAAUACGUAGGGAGCAAGCGUUAUCCGGAUUUAUUGGGUGUAAAGGGUGCGUAGACGGGAGUGCAAGUUGGUUGUGAAAUCCCUCGGCUUAACUGAGGAACUGCAACCAAAACUACAUUUCUUGAGUGCUGGAGAGGAAAGUGGAAUUCCUAGUGUAGCGGUGAAAUGCGUAGAUAUUAGGAGGAACACCAGUGGCGAAGGCGACUUUCUGGACAGUAACUGACGUUGAGGCACGAAAGUGUGGGGAGCAAACAGG